AUGACCAACAAAGACCCCGACGACAUGUCCAGUGAGACGCAAGAUACUGAAGGUUUGGAACUCGAAUCUCUACAACUGGACAUCAAAACACUCCGGCAAGAAGGAGAGGAAGAUAGAAAGGAAUUCUAUCACUUCACGGAUUCAGUGAAUAAGAACUUUGCCAGCAUACAGAAGAAUUUCAAGAAAAUUCAAACUACCUUGCUGAAGUUAACUGCAGAGCAGUCAGUAGAAGAAGAAGAUGAGGAGGAAGAAAGACAUGAUCCACUGUCAGGGCAGGGAAGCACUACUGUCCCUCCAGGAAGGCCAAAGCAGUUGCCUAACAAUCACCUUCCCCCUGACAAGCAGAACCCUACAACUAUGGGAUUUGUUGUCCUGGUGGACAAAGCAACGGGCAGAGAACUGAACAUGGAUGGCAUGCCAAAAGGUCCAUACAGACACCCUAAUCAUACUGCCAACAAGCAAGAAUUUCACACCCCUCCACAACAACAAGGUCAUGUCAACAAACACUUCUUGACAGUGGAGGAACUACCUGAAGCAGAGAUCAGAAAGGACAGAAACAAACCUUAUACACCUGAAGCCAGAAGACAAAUGUUAUCUCCUUGUUGA
rnacentral:rRNA from 1 species